GUGCUCACUUCAGCAGCACAUAUACUAAAUCUAGAAUGAUACAAAGAUUAAAGAUUAGCAUGACCCCUGCACAGGAUGACACACAAAUUCAUGAAGCAUUCCAUAUUUUU
ensembl:snRNA U6 U6 spliceosomal RNA